UACGUAGGGGGCAAGCGUUGUCCGGAAUCAUUGGGCGUAAAGAGCGUGUAGGCGGUCCGGUAAGUCCGCUGUGAAAGUCGGGGGCUCAACCCUCGAAUGCCGGUGGAUACUGUCGGGCUAGAGUGCGGAAGAGGCGAGUGGAAUUCCUGGUGUAGCGGUGAAAUGCGCAGAUAUCAGGAGGAACACCUAUUGCGAAGGCAGCUCGCUGGGACGUAACCGACGCUGAGACGCGAAAGCGUGGGGAGCAAACAGG
rnacentral:rRNA from 1 species